UUGUCUAGUUGGACUUAAUGAAUCAAUUGUAUUAAAUAUAUGAGCAACAUGCCAUGUUUGAAGUCAUGAAUUGUCUUCCAUUAGCAGGGUACAUUCUCGUGGAAAAUUGGUUCCAUCAAACUCAAGAAAGUGAUUUCUCCAGUGGGAGUUACUUGUAUAAGUUGAAUGAUUUUCUUGAUACAAAAACAAGCUAGGAAGCAAGCGCCGCGAAGGGUUGACAGGGCAGCUCGAUCGGCUGUUAAAAAAGAUGGCAGUAGACAGUUCUACUUUGAUUUGCUGGCUGAUUUUCCAACAAUCCUGGAACUUGAAACACUGUAUUUAUUGUGAUUCUUGAUUCUUGUAAGUCGAGGUCUAUACACCAAGUAACACUCUUAUUGUAACCAAUCAAAAUUUCAAUGAAUUAAGAUUAGAAA